rnacentral:lncRNA from 1 species
UGGCACUUCCCCUUCCUCUGCCCUGUAUCUUCUCGGUUGAUCAUGGCCUGAAUUUCCAUUUCCUCAUGUAUGUGAGACGACCUAUGAAGCCUCCCCACCUGACUCACCCUGGAUCCUGGUAGAUGCAGCAGAGUAAGAAAAUAAAUGAGCCAGAAUCCAAAGGGUACUGGCUGAUUUGGCAGGAGGCCUCUUUAUUGAACUUAAACAUGGGGCGUGAACAUCCUAGUCCUAAAUCACUGCAGCCACUUUAGUCUCUGUGGUUCCUAUGGGAACCAGAAACAUCAGCCAGCUUCUCUGCACUAGGAACAUGAUUCAUUAGUCAUGCCUCAUCAGCAGCGCCCAGGUUCAGUCAGUGCCUGUGCUAGACUGGACUUGCUUUCCAGAUACCUCAAGGGCCUGAGUGACUCCAGGACAGAGCGUAGAAAGGGUGUUUGGGUCAUGGAUAGACCAGAAGUCAUGCAGUCACUGCCUCAAUCUCUAGGAAUUACUGGUGCACUGGUUUGCUCUGUCUUUUUGAGGAAAAUUAAGGUGAUUCCCUGCCCCUGUCCCCCAUCAAAAUUUAUCCCUGGAAGCCUGAUGAACCAGUUAGGAGAAUCUGGAGUUUCUCUCUGUCAUCUUCAACCACCAGAAAGGUGAAAUGGAGAUUGAAAAGCUCAACCCACAAUAUCUAUUACAAUGACCAAAUGUAUUGAUCCACAAAUAUGAUAUUAUGUAGCUUCAGGUGAGUGAGUAGAUUGUGUAUAUGUGUGUGUAUGAUCAAAAGAGAGAAUAUAAAUAAAGAGACACCUGAUUAAGUCA